UCGAGAAUCAUUCGCAAUGGGCGAAAGCCUGACGGUGCGACGCCGCGUGGAGGAUGAAGGCCCUAGGGUCGUAAACUCCUGUCAUCAGGGAGUAAUGGCUCAUAUAGUAACUGAUAUGGGUCUUGAUAGUACCUGAAGAGGAAGGGACGGCAAACUUCGUGCCAGCAGCCGCGGUAAUACGGAGGGUGCAAGCGUUAAUCGGAAUUACUGGGCGUAAAGGGCGCGUAGGUGGAUGAUUGAGUCGGAUGUGAAAGCCCUGGGCUUAACCUAGGACGUGCAUACGAUACUGAUUGUCUAGAGUGAAGUAGAGGGUAGUGGAAUUUCUGGUGUAGCGGUGAAAUGCGUAGAUAUCAGAAAGAACACCGGUGGCGAAGGCGGCUACCUGGACUUUAACUGACACUGAGGCGCGAAAGCGUGGGAGCAAACAGGAUUAGAUACCCAAGUAGUCCCUGAGCGGGCUGGCAAGGCGCAU
rnacentral:rRNA from 1 species